rnacentral:rRNA from 1 species
GUUGUUUAGAUGAACAGUAUUAUGUAUGUGUUAGAUAAAAUUAGUUUUGCAUACUAUUGUUAGUUAAUUAUCAUAUGAGUUAUGAUUAAUAGAAAUUAUCAGAAAAUGUAAUUUAUGAUUUUUUGUUAUAAAAUUAAUUUUAGGUUAUAUUGUUUUGAUAAGGCGUUGAUAAUGAUAACUGUUUUGUUUUGAUAAUAUUAGAAAGUUAUAUAGGAGAGUAUAAUUUAUGAGAGUGUUGGUUUGAUAGUAUCUGUUGAGUGUUUAAUAACUUUAAGUUUGAUUGGUUAGUGUUUGGGUUUUGUAUCAUGAUUUAGAUAUAUAUAUGAUUAAUAAUUUAGUAAGUUAUGUUAUUAGAAGGUUAGUAAUAUUGAAUGAAUAAUAGAGAAAUGAAUUUGGGCUCGAAUGUUUUUUAAAGACUUAGGUUUUUGUAUAAAAUUGUCUUCUGCUCUAUGGGUUAAACUGAAUGGCGGCCUUAGCGUGAGGGUAUGAAAGUAGCGUAAUGAUUUGUGUUUUUAAUGGGCUCUAGUAUGAAUGGAGAGAACGGGUUUUGAUUUUCUUUUGUUGAUGGUGAAUUAUGUGUUUAAUUAAAAAUUAUUAGGUUUAUUUAUACUAAGAUAAGUCUUCGGAAAUUUUUUUUUUUGAAUGUUUUUUAGGGUAAAAAUUUAUGUAAGAUGUUAAUCUAUAUGAUAAGGGUAAAAGUUACUUCGGAGUUAACAGAAUGAUAUUUUUUAUAUAGUUGUUAUAUUAGGAAAAAUAUUACAUCGAUGUUGUAUUUAUAUUAGUUAGGGGGUAGAAAGCUUAAUGUUUAAGACUGUUCUUCUGUGAGAAAAUAUAACGUGAUAUUAGUUUAAUUCAUCGUGAGAUAGAAUUGUUUAUCUAGUUAAAUAAUUUAUGGAGUUUAUGUUAGUACGAGAGGAAAAUGUAUGAAGUUUAAAAUUGGUUUGUGUGA